rnacentral:rRNA from 1 species
AGUGAACGCUGGCGGUAGGCCUAACACAUGCAAGUCGAACGGCAGCACAGUAAGAGCUUGCUCUUACGGGUGGCGAGUGGCGGACGGGUGAGGAAUACAUCGGAAUCUACUUUUUCGUGGGGGAUAACGUAGGGAAACUUACGCUAAUACCGCAUACGACCUACGGGUGAAAGCAGGGGAUCUUCGGACCUUGCGCGAUUGAAUGAGACGAUGUUGGAUUAGCUAGUUGGCGGGGUAAAGGCCCACCAAGGCGACGAUCCGUAGCUGGUCUGAGAGGAUGAUCAGCCACACUGAAACUCAAACACCGUACAGACUCCUACGCGAGGCAACAGUCGGGAAUAUUCGACAAUGCACGCAAGCCUUAUCCAGCCAUACCACGUGCGUCAAGAAGACCUUCGGGUUCUAAAGCCCUUUUGUUUGGAAAGAAAACCAACACCUUAAUACCCCGCUGUUCUGACAGUACCCAAAGAAUAAGCACCGGCUAACUUCGUG